rnacentral:rRNA from 1 species
UGCCAGCCGCCGCGGUAAUACAGAGGGUGCUAGCGUUAAUCGGAAUUACUGGGCGUAAAGCGUGCGUAGGUGGUUUGGUAAGUCAGGUGUGAAAUCCCAGAGCUUAACUUUGGAAUUGCGCUUGAGACUGCUGGGCUAGAGUUUUGUAGAGGAUAGUGGAAUUUCCGGUGUAGCGGUGAAAUGCGUAGAGAUCGGAAGGAACACCAGUGGCGAAGGCGACUGUCUGGACAAAUACUGACACUGAGGUACGAAAGCGUGGGGAGCGAACAGGAUUAGAUA